rnacentral:rRNA from 1 species
AUUGAACGCUGGCGGCAGGCUUAACACAUGCAAGUCGAGCGGAGAGAGGUAGCUUGCUACUGAUCUUAGCGGCGGACGGGUGAGUAAUGCUUAGGAAUCUGCCUAUUAGUGGGGGACAACAUUUCGAAAGGAAUGCUAAUACCGCAUACGUCCUACGGGAGAAAGCAGGGGAUCUUCGGACCUUGCGCUAAUAGAUGAGCCUAAGUCGGAUUAGCUAGUUGGUGGGGUAAAGGCCUACCAAGGCGACGAUCUGUAGCGGGUCUGAGAGGAUGAUCCGCCACACUGGGACUGAGACACGGCCCAGACUCCUACGGGAGGCAGCAGUGGGGAAUAUUGGACAAUGGGCGGAAGCCUGAUCCAGCCAUGCCGCGUGUGUGAAGAAGGCCUUAUGGUUGUAAAGCACUUUAAGCGAGGAGGAGGCUACUUUAGUUAAUACCUAGAGAUAGUGGACGUUGCUCGCAGAAUAAGCACCGGCUAACUCUGUGCCAGCCGCCGCAGUAACAC